GUCGAGCGGACAGAUGGGAGCUUGCUCCCUGAUGUUAGCGGCGGACGGGUGAGUAACACGUGGGUAACCUGCCUGUAAGACUGGGAUAACUCCGGGAAACCGGGGCUAAUACCGGAUGGUUGUUUGAACCGCAUGGUUCAAACAUAAAAGGUGGCUUCGGCUACCACUUACAGAUGGACCCGCGGCGCAUUAGCUAGUUGGUGAGGUAACGGCUCACCAAGGCAACGAUGCGUAGCCGACCUGAGAGGGUGAUCGGCCACACUGGGACUGAGACACGGCCCAGACUCCUACGGGAGGCAGCAGUAGGGAAUCUUCCGCAAUGGACGAAAGUCUGACGGAGCAACGCCGCGUGAGUGAUGAAGGUUUUCGGAUCGUAAAGCUCUGUUGUUAGGGAAGAACAAGUACCGUUCGAAUAGGGCGGUACCUUGACGGUACCUAACCAGAAAGCCACGGCUAACUACGUGCCAGCAGCCGCGGUAAUACGUAGGUGGCAAGCGUUGUCCGGAAUUAUUGGGCGUAAAGGGCUCGCAGGCGGUUUCUUAAGUCUGAUGUGAAAGCCCCCGGCUCAACCGGGGAGGGUCAUUGGAAACUGGGGAACUUGAGUGCAGAAGAGGAGAGUGGAAUUCCACGUGUAGCGGUGAAAUGCGUAGAGAUGUGGAGGAACACCAGUGGCGAAGGCGACUCUCUGGUCUGUAACUGACGCUGAGGAGCGAAAGCGUGGGGGAGCGAACAGGAUUAGAUACCCUGGUAGUCCACGCCGUAAACGAUGAGUGCUAAG
rnacentral:rRNA from 1 species